ensembl:lncRNA LINC00320 long intergenic non-protein coding RNA 320
GAAGGAUUCAGAGCAGAGAAUUGCACCCUGGCAUGAUGCCUAUGCCAGCUGGACUGUGUGAUUUUUGUUCUUUAGUAGAAGGAUAACAUGACAUAGCAGGAAUAAUACUGCCUUUUCUUUCUGGCAUGGAUCAAGAGAAAAGAAAAUACAAGAAAACAGACAGAAGAUCCUAUCUGCGACAAUUAAGAGCACUCUAAGAGGAAAACACAUCCCACCACACAAGGCAAGGUACUUCUAUGGAAGGGUGAGCCCUCACAGAUGGAGCAAUGGGGCGCGCACACCUGAACAAGGGAGGGGAAGGAGUUCUUAUCCCUGAUGCAUGUGACCCCUGCUGCUGUGUCCUUCCCCUAUUGGCUAAGGCUUCUGACAGCUUUGGAGAUUGUGACAUUGGAAUAAAGGAAAAACGUACAGGACUCAUGAAGCGCUGAAAUGUUCACAAAUAUCAAGCAAAAGUCAAUGAAAUUUAUUUUGAGCUAUUUACAUCAUUUAAUAAUUGAGCAAGGUAUACUCCUAUGAACAAAAUUUGGAGCAUGUUUGUCUCUCUCUGCCUGGCGUCUUCAGAAUUUGGAAACUAGUUAUGGUUUAUAAUCAGCUAUAGAAUUUUAACACGUGCUCUCAAAUGCAAGUUUCUGAUAACUUUGGAGAUUGUGACAUUGGAAUAAAGGAAGAGCUGGAAUGUUCAUGAAUAUCAAGCAAAAGUCAUGGAAAUUUAUUUUGAGCUAUUUACAGCAUUUAAUAAUUGAGCAAGGUAUACUCCUAUGAACAAAAUUUGGAGCAUGUUUGUCUCUCUCUGUCUGCCUGGCAUCUACAGAAUUUGGAAACUAGUUUCGUUCCCAGAUUUCCUAAACUUUCCAGAGAAAAUGGUCUUCUCCCUGGCUCAGCAAGAAGAUGAACUUUAAACACUGAGAAACUGGUCAUCUCCCUGGCUCAACCAGAAGAUGAACUUUAAACACUACUCUCAAUGACUUGAUGUUCCCAUCACUACUCCUGUCAUAAAGGGAGGGGACUCAGAUAUUGAGAAUUUUAUGAUAGUGUGAACUGUCUGCUACUCCCUCUGCUGGCCUCACCGAUGACUUACCUCAUGAUGAGACCGAGACCAUCAUCCCUGAGGGUGUGACUUCCUGUUCAUCACAGCUUCUCUGGCCAGAUUGCCGUAUCUGUCUUUUUGCAAUUGUCACAAUUGGGUGAAGAAUUACCAAGACCUACUUAACUAGAUUAUCUGGGUGCCACGAAUAUUCACUGCUCCAUUGCAUAACACCACUUUUGCCUUUUCAUCAACAUGAAGGUCAAUUACCAUU